rnacentral:rRNA from 5 species
AACUUUCAACAACGGAUCUCUUGGCUCUCGCAUCGAUGAAGAACGCAGCGAAAUGCGAUAAGUAAUGUGAAUUGCAGAUUUUCAGUGAAUCAUCGAAUCUUUGAACGCACCUUGCGCCCCUUGGUAUUCCGAGGGGCAUGCCUGUUUGAGUGUCA